UGGUGGAGCGAUUUGUCUGGUUAAUUCCGAUAACGAACGAGACUCUAGUCUAUUAAAUAGACGAUCAGCCUUUCGAUGCUGUUCGGACUUCUUAGAGAGACAGGCGGCGGUUCAGCCGCACGAGGAAGAGCAAUAACA
rnacentral:rRNA from 1 species